rnacentral:rRNA from 1 species
AUGAGGAGCCGUGCAAGCACAAGCAGAAGCAGGGGUGGAGGAGUGAAGUACUGUGGCCUAUGGGCAGCGGCCAUCGCCUCUGUUCUUCUCGCCAUCUUGCUUGCCUCCACCACACACCUCCCUGCUUCGCCCACCGAUCCUCUGGUACAAGGCCGCCGCCGGCGGAGGCAGUGCGACGAGGAGGCCAGAUGGGUGGCCGGCAUCGCGUCCCAGCUCAACGCCACCCUCGUCCUGACCGUCGACCACCUCGGCUGCGGCAACUUCAGCAGCGUGCAGAAGGCGGUGGACGCGGUGCCUGACCACGGCGCGGCCGGCGGGCGUACGCUGCUGGCCGUGGGCGCCGGCAUCUUCCGGGAGAAGGUGGUGGUGUGGGGCAACAAGACGGGCGUGACGCUGCACGGCCGCGGCAACCUCAACAGCACCGUGGCGUGGAACGACACCGCCGCCUCCAGCGCCGGCAGCACCCCGUCCAGCGCGACCUUCACCGUCCUCGCCGCCGGCUUCGUCGCCUACAACAUCAGCUUCCAGAACACGGCGCCUCCGGCGGACCCGGGCGCCAGCGGAGGGCAGGCGGUGGCGCUGCGCGUGGCCGGCGACCAGGCAGCGUUCCACUGGUGCGGCGUCUACGGCGCGCAGGACACGCUGCUGGACGAGCAGGGGCGGCACGUCUUCCGCGGCUGCUACGUCGAGGGCUCCAUCGACUUCAUCUUCGGCAACGCCCGGUCCCUCUACCUCAACUGCACCAUCAGCUCCGUCGCGGCGGCCACCGGCAAUGGCGGCGGCGUGACGGGGAGCAUCACGGCGCAGGGGCGCGGGUCGGCGUCGGAAAAAACAGGGUUCGCGUUCGUCGGGUGCAGCGUGGUGGGGACGGGGAAGGUGUGGCUGGGGCGGGCGUGGGGGCCCUACGCCACGGUGGUGUUCGCGAGGACGUACCUCGCCGCCGGCGUCGUGGCGCCGGAGGGGUGGAACGACUGGAACGAUCCGGCCAGGCGGCAGACGGUGUUCUUCGGGGAGUACGAGAGCACGGGGCCCGGGGCGUGCAGGGACGGGAGGGUGCCGUACGCGCGGCAGCUGGAUCGCCGGCAGGCCGCGCCCUUCAUGGACGUCUCCUACAUCGACGGCGACCAGUGGGCGGUGCCACCACUGCCAGUAGUACUAACACUGCCCCGGCAGCACGGCGGAGACGAUUCAGAUCAUGCACCACGGGGAGAAGUAAUGUAG